rnacentral:rRNA from 1 species
AGUUUGAUCCUGGCUCAGGAUGAACGCUGGCGGCGCACAUAAGACAUGCAAGUCGAACGAACUUAAUUCAUUCUUUUAGAUUGAAAGCGGUUAGUGGCGGACUGGUGAGUAAUGUAUAAGUAACCUGCCUAUCAGAGGGGAAUAACAGUGAGAAAUCAUUGCUAAUACCGCAUAUGCUAACAGAAUCGCAUGAUUUAGUUAGGAAAGGAGUAAUCCGCUGAUAGAUGGACUUAUAUCUGAUUAGCCUGUUGGUGGGGCAACGGCCUACCAAAGCUACGAUCAGUAGCCGGACUGAGAGGUUGAACGGCCACAUUGGGACUGAGAUACGGCCCAGACUCCUACGGGAGGCAGCAGUCGGGAAUAUUGCGCAAUGGAGGAAACUCUGACGCAGUGACGCCGCGUAUAGGAAGAAGGUUUUCGGAUUGUAAACUAUUGUCGUUAGGGAAGAUACAAGACAGUACCUAAGGAGGAAGCCCCGGCUAACUAUGUGCC